rnacentral:rRNA from 1 species
UACGUAGGGUGCAAGCGUUUGUCCGGAAUUAUUGGGCGUAAAGAGCUCGUAGGCGGUCUGUCGCGUCGGCUGUGAAAACCCGGAGCUCAACUCCGGGCCUGCAGUCGAUACGGGCAGACUGGAGUUCGGCAGGGGAGACUGGAAUUCCUGGUGUAGCGGUGAAAUGCGCAGAUAUCAGGAAGAACACCCGUGGCUAAGGCGGCUCUCUAGUACGGUACUGACGCUGAGACGCGAAAGCGUGGGGAGCGAACAGG